GCUGCUGGGACACGGAUGUGUUCAGGCCAUGAGGCCAUCCAAGCCCAGGCCCACUGCUCAGGGCUCUGGGCUGCUGCCCAAGAAGGCCACAAGGUCCCCCACAGAUCAUCUUUCCUGGCCGCUUAUAUCCAGAAUGAAGAUAAGGAAGUGGCAUGUCCCCCAGGGGAAGGGGACAACAUCUGGUGUCCUGUGUCUAGCUGUAGGAGGCAAGAGUUUACGAGAAAUAAUCAGAGAGAAGAAGACACGUCCCUUAUUCCCAGGAGCUCAUACCACCCAUACUACAGCCAGCAGAUGUUGUGCAUGACCAGUGUAAAAGCCCCUCCCAAAAUGAUUGACACCAAAGGAGGCUUCAUUUUAGAAGAGGAGGAAGAAGAGGAACACAAGAUUGGAAAUGUGGUUCAUGAACCAGGGCCCGUCAUGGAGUUUGAUUAUGCAAUUUGUGAAGAAUGUGGGAAAGAAUUCAUGGACUCCUAUCUUAUGAACCACUUUGAUUUGCCAACAUGUGACAACUGCAGAGAUGCUGAUGACAAACACAAGCUGAUAACCAAAACAGAAGCCAAGCAGGAAUACCUUCUGAAAGACUGCGAUUUAGAGAAGAGAGAGCCCGCGCUUAGGUUUAUCGUGAAGAAGAACCCUCGUCACUCACAAUGGGGUGAUAUGAAGCUCUACUUAAAGUUACAGGUUGUGAAGCGGGCUCUGGAAGUUUGGGGAAGCCAGGACGCGCUGGAAGAGGCAAAGGGAGUGAGGCAGGAAAACCGGGAGAAAAUGAAGCAGAAGAAGUUUGAUAAAAAAGUGAAGGUGCUUGGUGGAUCUGUCCCUGUCCUGGCCAGCCCGCAGAGGGCUGAGUGGAGUAGACUGUAGACUAGAAACGAGGAGCUGAUUGCGCAGUUUGCUCAGAACAGAGAGGAUCUAAGCAAGUCUAAAGGCUUUUUAGUUGGAAAGAAAUUGGAACAUGGUUCCUCUUGAUGCACAGCGGAGCUGACACAAAGCUUUCUUCUUUAUGGGAAGAAUUGCGGCGAGCAGUAAGAAGCAGUGUGUGGAAAAGAGAAACGGCCGCUCACCAACAUGAGUAUGGACCAGAGGAAAACUUGGAAGAUGACAUGUACCGCAAGACUUGUACCUUGUGUGGCCAUGAACUGACAUAUGAGAAAAUGUGACUUUUAAAAGCAAAUUUAUAUUCAAAUAAAGGCUCUGUUCAGUUGUA